GGAAUCGGGACCAUACGUGGCUGUAUACCCUGGGACAAGAAGCCAAGAAACAUGCCAAAACAGCAGAGCCAGUGGGAAAAAAGCUCUGUGGGCUGAGUUGGGCAAACAGAGAUGCCAUGACACACUGCAGAAGCCGCUGGCAGUGGGAUGAAUCUGUGCACCAGCAAUGAGCAGUAUCUACUCCAUCUGGCUUGGGCUCCACAUCCUCCCAGAAGACUUCCUUUUGAACAGGGAGAUUCCAGUCACGGUGACUCCACCAGUAAAAGAGGUAGCCUCCCAGAUUUGCUUAUCUCAAACUUCUUGAAAGCACCCCUAACUUCCUUGGCAGCAGUAGCCAAACAAGAGCUGUAAAAUACUGUUUUCCCUGGUCUGGUGGAACUCGCAACUCAGCAUAUGUGGUGAGGAGCUCCCAAAAUAGCUCUCGGUUGCCUCACCAGCCUCAGAAGCAACUUGAAAAGUCUUUUGUCUUCUGGGACAACUUACAGAAGUUUUAAAAUGUUUGAACUUAUUUUGAAAGUACUCUGAAAGAUAAGAAUGAUCUAUUCCAAGGCCAGGUGAACUGAAGGUCACAGUUAAGGCAUUGCACAACACAACCAAGUAGGUUCAGCACAAAACUCACACAGAAUUUGAUCAGCUCAUCAGUGCUGCUGCUGCCCUUGCCUAAAUUCAGGUCAAAGCUGAGGCCCUUUGACCUGGCACCCUGCUGGGCCAAACGCUCUCAUCUUUUAUGCCAAAUACCAGUGGGGCAAUGCUAAAGAGGCAGAGGACAUGGGUCCUUUCGUGACAGAGCCUUGUUGGACAAGCCUUCAGAAAAGAAGCCAAGCAAAACAGCUCAGUUUCUGAGGAGAAGCUGUAGUUGCUGCAGGACAAGUGUGCUCUCGCUCUGGGAAGGCUAACAUGCACUUCAUCCUGGUCAAAGGCUAUUCUCUGACUGGAUCUUGUAAUAUUUCAGGCUAUCUCUAUUUAGGACAAAGCCUGAAUAGCUUUUGCUAUUGUUAAACAAGGGAUAUCCCCAAUCUGCUCUUUAUGGCUGCACUACUUCAGCACAGCAUUCCUGCGGGCUCUGCAGGGACAACAUGGAGGCUGUCCCCCUGGAGUCAUCUGAAACCCUUCCCUGCUGUGAGGAAAGGCUCCUCUUUCUUGAAAAUAUAAUUUGCUCUUGAAAAACAACUCCAAAACCCCAUAUACAUCUGGGGCUUCCCAUCAGGGUGGGAGAAGAGCUUUUUUUCCCCACAUCUCAUGUUUCUGAGCAUGCUCCCUAGUGCCUCGGCCAGAGCCCUCAGUAUAGCUUUUUGCCGAGUCAGGCUGCUGGUUUUCUUAUCCCAAAUCCCAGAUGGGUGGUUUUAAGUACUCCAGGCAUUUUUCAAAGACAGCUUGAAACCCAGCCAAGCCCACAGUGGAGGAGGAAGGGGUAGGGGUGGGUGUGUAACUCUUCUCCAACAGGUCUGCAGUUGGUCUGGUUGUCUCCCAGGUCAGGCGAGCUUGUCCACAGCUGCAGGGUGCAGCUGCCACCCCAGGGGACAACCCCACCCCGUCCCCAAAAUCAAGUGAACUUUGUGAUUUUUUUAGCAGCAGUAAAUGAUCCCACUGGGGGUUAUUUGACCACCAAAGCUAUGCUGGCUUGGCUGAAGGGUUGAAGUGCAGAGGCCCACGUCAAUACGCAUUUACAGAUACUACUGGAUGCAGGAUUGGGAGCCCCAGACCCCCCAGCACCCGCUCUCACCUGCUGCUUGGGAAUCACCCCUUCUCCAGUUCCUGUGUUUACAUGUCUGUCCAUGACACAAUGAAACGGAGGGAAGGCAAAUGUGCAAUGUAGAGAUCCAUUAUGCUUUAUUUACAUGCGUCACCAUCUCUUUUACAAACUAGAUUACAAUUUAAAAUGGAAUACACAAGGCAAUAUCUACUAACACCAAGUGGAGUAAGCACUGCGUCUCUACUUCGUUUGGAAAGGGGCAGGUUUUGCUCCAAAACAAACUUCCUUCCAACCUCUGAGUAGUAAGGUAAUAUAUUCCUCCAGGGCAGCAUCUUUUUUCUCUUUUUUUUUUUUUCUUUUUUUUUCUUUUUUUUAAAUAAAAAAUCCUCAGUAAGACUGCAACGUGAGAGUGUCUGCUUUCAAAUGAAAGUACAAGAUAGCCCAAAUGAAAAGUAUAAACUGUUCAGCUCUUCGGUAUGUAAAGACGGCCAUGCGCAAUAAGGCUGUGGAUUUAAUAUUCUUCCAAUUUACAUGGCUUGAAACAGAAACAGAUAAAACAGUUUUACAGAUACUGUAUACAUAUUUUUUCCAAUCAUGCAACUUUUUAAAAAAAAAGUUAAACAUGUGAAGCCAAAUGUACAAUCCAUUUUUUCCAACCCAUAGUAACGAAAUGUAUCUGGUCCCCCUGCGCAUCUGUUGGCAAUUCCAAAGGUAUAUUGUGUACUAGAAACACUUACAGGACAUCGAUUGCCAAGCAAUGACAUAAUUUUAGAGAAAUACAUAACCUAAAAGGUAACUUUUUUAAGCAGUGGCACAAAAAUUUCUGGAGUUCAACAGUGUUUAACUAUCCCAUUAUUCUCAAGAGAAAUUUUUUUUACAAAAUCAUUAAAUCAAGCCCCAAUCUGUGACUAGAAACUGCAUAAAUAACACCUUUUUAGACCUUUUGUUUAGACCAAGUGUCCAAAUGAUAACUACGUAAUUGUGACCAUGACCUUUAUCUGUUUUACACUAUUUCAUAAGAAAAACUUCUAGGCAUAAACAUGUUCAAAGACUCAAAGGCCAAAUUUUCAAAAGGUAGGUUCCCAAAAUUAGCGGUUCAAGUCUGUAUUUUGACACCUAAGUAAGUGGCCCUUUGAAUUCAGUGAGAUUUAUUUAGCACCUCUGGAGUGAAGGAACCUUGCUGGGCACCUCAGCAGGUGUAGAGGAUGAUGACUUUCCCCUCGGCCUGGGGGGACCUGUCACUUCCCCUUCCUUCAAGAAGUGACAAGGACAGAGCAGCUCAACCUCUGCGACCACACCAGAGUCCCCAGUGUUCAGUGCCUGAUACCAGGCACUUGUGCUGGAAAAGUUUGGCCCCAAAAAUGAGCAAAAGAAACCAAACCAAGGCCAAGUCCAACCCUCUUCAGCAAGUGCUGAGAUGUUCUCCAAAGCAGGGGCUCAAGGUGUUCCAGCCAUGCCAAUGGAAAUGCUCUCCUUGACAUUGCUGGGAGGCAAGUUAACCCUUUCAGCUGCUAAUGCUUUUAUUACUUUUUAAAAAAACUUCUCUGACAUUGAUGGGCUGCCUCUAAAUCAGGUGUUAUUUCUUCAUUUUCUGAACAGAGCAGGCCAUAGUUCUCUCUCUCAUUUCUGUCAGCAGGAGCCAGCUCCACUGAACUCCAGCAGGCUAGGCUGCCAGAACAGAGCAGAAGCUGCCCCUACUUGGUUCAAGCUAAUAGGCCUUCCCUUGCCUUUGACAAGAACUUAAUCUGUACCAAGACCAAACAAAAAUUGUGGGUUUUGGUCAGCUUGGCCAUACCAUCAAGUCAGGCCUUACUGGAUCUCUCAGUGACCUGGUUGGUGGGUCUUUGGGCAGGCACCUCGGGUCUUACCGGAGAGGAAUCAUGCAGGGAUCAAAUGCUGCACCCCAGCAUGGGGAGCCACAGAGUGAUCUCUCCUGGUGGCCAAAACCAUGGGGCCAGGGGACAAGUCCAGUCACAGGGUGGCAGCUGCAAAGAAGCCUCACGGAAAUAAGCACUAAAGGAGAGUCCUUCAGCAUACACUGACAUUUUGGGGUAUACUGGGAAGCUGAGAGCUAAUGGUACAUGCUCAGAGGAGGCCAGUGAUAGACCCUAGGCCAAUUUCAGUAAAAGGUGCCUGCAACUGGACUCCAAUAAGCCAGGCGCCCAGGUGUGCCACGCAAGCAUCCUGGGAGGCUGGCUUCUGAUAGAGAUGGGCAAUGAGCACCAGCCAACUCCAGUGAACACAAUAAACUAAGCCACAUUCUGACAAAUAGACCACCUCAGUGUAAAAAAGAGAAGUUUUUUUAAAAGGCAAAUGAUAAACCCUUGGCUGCUUGGAAGAGUUGAUAUGCUACAGGGCUAUGCUAACCACAACUGCACAGAGCCUACACAGUCAUAACUGUGGGGAGAAACCAAGAGGUGCAUCUUUAUGAGAGAACAGCGUGGAGGCUAUGGUACAAAAACAAAACUUCCAUCACACUAGGAGCUGUUGUUUCACCUGUUGUUUCACCUCGGGGACCUGGAAAGUGAGGAGUGAGGAAGGGCCCACAAAUGCGCGCAUGUGUGCAUGGCUGUGCAUGUGCGGUGGCAGUGGCGAGAGGGAGUCACUCCACAUUGCAUGGGACACGUGUCGGUGGGAACUCAUGCACUGAGACUUUGGGUUAAAAUGCUAGUUUGUUUUCCUAACAUCCAUGCAUAAUGAUCCAUUUCUGUACAUAAUAAAAUAUAUUUAUAUAUUUAUAUGCAUAAUGCUUUUAUGCAAAGGAAAAAAAAAAAAACUUCAUAUAUCGCUUUGGAGAAUUAUGUAUACACUGUCCUGUUCAGAACCUCUUCAUAUUGAGUUCCUAUGUACCACUGGUGUUUUCCCCUCUUUUUUUUGUAUCCCUUUCCCCCCAAGAUACUAAUAAAAAGUAAUCAAACUUUCCAGAUUAUAGAGAGGAUCUAUACAGCACCAUACCUUUUAUUCAUUAUUAUUAUUAUUAAUUAUUAUUCAUUUUAUAAAAGAAAAUCUUAGAAGCAAAAUAUAUAAAACUGCCUUGUCUUUCAGUGUCAUUUGUCUUGAUACAAUCUCUGCUCACAUGAAAAAGCCAUUUGUAUGAUACUGUCACAUUGCCAUUCCCACUCCUGCUUCUUCUGCCACAACGGAUUAUACAUAAUGAGAAGGAAAAAAUAA